rnacentral:rRNA from 1 species
CAUUAUACCGCGAAACUGCGAAUGGCUCAUUAAAUCAGUUAUCGUUUAUUUGAUAGUACCUUACUACUUGGAUAACCGUGGUAAUUCUAGAGCUAAUACAUGCUAAAAAUCCCGACUUCGGAAGGGAUGUAUUUAUUAGAUUAAAAACCAAUGCCCUUCGGGGCUCACUGGUGAUUCAUAAUAACUUCUCGAAUCGCAUGGCCUUGCGCCGGCGAUGGUUCAUUCAAAUUUCUGCCCUAUCAACUUUCGACGGCUGGGUCUUGGCCAGCCAUGGUGACAACGGGUAACGGAGGGUUAGGGCUCGACCCCGGAGAAGGAGCCUGAGAGACGGCUACUACAUCCAAGGAAGGCAGCAGGCGCGCAAAUUACCCAAUCCCGACACGGGGAGGUAGUGACAAUAAAUACUGAUACAGGGCUCUUUAGGGUCUUGUAAUUGGAAUGAGUACAAUUUAAAUCCCUUAACGAGGAACAAUUGGAGGGCAAGUCUGGUGCCAGCAGCCGCGGUAAUUCCAGCUCCAAUAGCGUAUAUUAAAGUUGUUGCAGUUAAAAAGCUCGUAGUUGAACCUUGGGCCUGGCUGGCCGGUCCGCCUCACCGCGUGCACUGGUCCGGCCGGGUCUUUCCCUCUGGGGAACCGCAUGCCCUUCACUGGGUGUGCUGGGGAACCAGGACUUUUACUUUGAAAAAAUUAGAGUGUUCAAAGCAGGCCUAUGCUCGAAUACAUUAGCAUGGAAUAAUAGAAUAGGACGUGUGGUUCUAUUUUGUUGGUUUCUAGGACCGCCGUAAUGAUUAAUAGGGACAGUCGGGGGCAUCAGUAUUCAAUUGUCAGAGGUGAAAUUCUUGGAUUUAUUGAAGACUAACUACUGCGAAAGCAUUUGCCAAGGAUGUUUUCAUUAAUCAGGAACGAAAGUUAGGGGAUCGAAGACGAUCAGAUACCGUCGUAGUCUUAACCAUAAACUAUGCCGACUAGGGAUCGGAGCGAAGUUAUUUUUUGACUCGUUCGGCACCUUACACGAAAGUAUAAGUUUCU